rnacentral:lncRNA from 1 species
UCUACUCUCUAAAACCGGAACCUCCAUUCUCUGUUACUUGUUCUCUCUCGACGCCGGAACCCACAGUAUCGUGUCGGAGAACGGAGACUACCGGAGUGAACCAAGCUCGCCGGAAUCCCUUCCACGUCUCGCCGUCGUCCAUUUUCCGGGUAAAUCUCUUGCGCUUGUUGCAACUCUUUUGGAUCCAACUCACUCUCUUCUUUUAACAAGAAAUACGCAACGCAAUCUAAGGUGAGUAUACAUGACCCAUUUUCAUUUUACACUUUUGGGUUGAUGUUCAAGAAAUAAAGCAAUCAAGCUAGGAUGGAACUAGAAACCCAUUUUAGCAUAGUAUUUUAUUAUGUUUGAAUUAUGAUGUACUUGAAAACAAUGUAUUCCCAUUUGAUAUUUAUGAAAUGAAUUUAAUUCAUAUUGUCAUUUGUCACAAUAGUGUUAUGUUGUU